UGGGCGCGGAUGCAAACAUAAAUAUAAUCGGUCAAGGCUUGUUGAUGGGUUACCGAACACAAGACGAAAAUACCUUCAGUGAUUGACCAGUAUAGUUUAGCGAAUGGCAACCGUUAUGAGGGCACCUGGAGGGAUGGAAAGAAGGAUGGCCAUAGCCAGGGCUGUAGUAAGAAAUUCUGGGCCCCCUGAAUUGCUCUGGGCCCCUUUCAUAUGAAAAAUACAGUUUAAAAUUUGUUGUGGGCCCCUAGAAUAGUUACCACCUUUCACCCCAUUAGCUACGGCCCUGGCCAUGGCAAGUUUUUCUACCUGGACUGAGGUCAGCUGUAUGAAGACUUUUGGGUUGAUGGUGUUGCUAAGUGCGAAACAGUCUCUUAUUUUGGGAGAGAGAAAGCACUUAGGCCAACGGUGUACCCAAUCCCCAAGGUUUGCUUACUGGAUGCAGAGUUUGUACUGAUGGAGGCACAAGCAUUUUUCACCAAGGACAAAGAGAAAUCAACAACAAACACUAUUCCAAGCCAUACAGUUGUUAGGCAAUGUCUACCCUGACAAAAUUGUGAUUUGAGCCUAAGAAGGAAAGACUUGUUUUAAGAGUGCAUUGAA